ensembl:lncRNA
GUGCGACAGACGCCUGGCGUCGGGCGGCGUGACCGUUCGCGGUUGUCGAGGUGAGCGGUGAUGCAGGGAAGGACGGGAAAGUGGCAAUUUAACGACAGAUGGAUGGAAGAGGAAGCGCUUAGGAUGUGGCUGGCACUGUUUCUUUAGGGACCGUGGGGGUCAAAGCCGUCGAGCCGCAGCUGAAGAGAGCGAGGCCGGGCUGAUGCUGCAGGUUCAGACGCCGCCUCUCAGUCCACUAUUAAACACUGUGUUUCACCGCCAGAGACGCAAACGGCAGAGGUCAUUCGGGUUCUCCACACCGUAAUGAGGCGCAGCUCAUUGAAAUCUAAUGAGGAGGUGAGUGGAGGCUUGGCUGCCAUGUUCCCCGAUUCCCAGCUUGCAGAGUCACUCAGCUGUGGUGGAAAUAAAACCGCAUGUAUCGCCGAAUGUGGCGCUGCUGUUGAGACGGGCGCACAGCAGGUCCUCUCCCGCUGCUGUGGGUCGGAGUUCAUGGGUCAGAGCCGAGGACGUGUUGGGACAUGUCAGUGAAGGUACAAAAGAGCUGAAUCUGAACAACAUGCUCUCACUCUCGAUGGAUGGGCCCAGUGUUAAUUGGAGGUUUGUUGAACUCUUACAAGAGGAACACAGAGAGCAGUGUGGUGGAGCCCAACUACAAAUAAUUGGAAGUUGUGGCCUUCACACAAUGCACAACUCAUUCAAGAAUGGCUUCACGGUUUGGCAAGUUGAAAAAGCUCUGAAAGCCCUGCACUACCUGUUUCAAGAUGGCAGAGCUCAUCACUAAAUCCAACUCCAUGUGAAAAAGAUGCAAGGACAAGAGAGGGGAGUUGAUGGACCUAGACCAUGAAAUUGAGAAGAGAGUGGCAGAGCUACGCUACAUGUCUUGAAGAGAAUUUUGACCUCUUGAAUUUGACCUGUUUCUCUCUAAGAUUCAUGUGAUAACAUUUUGUGUUGUUUUGCAAACAAGCUGUUUUUAGCUUAUUUACAACGCAGUAUGCUUUGUGUUAUUUUAUAAUUCUGUAUGGUUUCUACAGUGUGUUGUUUAAUGUAAUGCAGCUUAUGUAUCUUAUGCUGGCUGUUCUGCAUCACAAAGGAACAAAAUUGAAAAGAUUGUUGAUAACAAUUAAGUUUUGCUUUCCAAUGUGGGAGACAAUAAAUUGAAUAUUUUC